UUGCAUCGCAGUAUACCAUGCAGUCGAGGGGUAGAGUAAGCUUGCUUACUUGAGACCGGCGCACGGGUGCGUAACGCGUAUGCAAUCUACCUUAUACUAAGGGAUAGCCCAGAGAAAUUUGGAUUAAUACCUUAUGGUUAAUUUAGUUGGCAUCAAUUGAAUUAUAAAGAUUUAUUGGUAUAAGAUGAGCAUGCGUCCCAUUAGUUAGUUGGUAAGGUAACGGCUUACCAAGACGAUGAUGGGUAGGGGUCCUGAGAGGGAGAUCCCCCACACUGGUACUGAGACACGGACCAGACUCCUACGGGAGGCAGCAGUGAGGAAUAUUGGACAAUGGGCGCAAGCCUGAUCCAGCCAUGCCGCGUGCAGGAUGAAGCAUCUAUGGUGUGUAAACUGCUUUUGUACGGGAAGAAAAAACGCUACGAGUAGUGUACUGACGGUACCGUAAGAAUAAGGAUCGGCUAACUCCGUGCCAGCAGCCGCGGUAAUACGGAGGAUCCAAGCGUUAUCCGGAAUCAUUGGGUUUAAAGGGUCCGUAGGCGGCCUUAUAAGUCAGCGGUGAAAGUUUUUGGCUUAACCAAAAAAUUGCCAUUGAUACUGUAGGGCUUGAAUAUUUGUGAAGUAACUAGAAUAUGUAGUGUAGCGGUGAAAUGCUUAGAUAUUACAUGGAAUACCAAUUGCGAAGGCAGGUUACUAACAAAUGAUUGACGCUGAUGGACGAAAGCGUGGGUAGCGAACAGGAUUAGAUACCGUGGGUACAC
rnacentral:rRNA from 1 species